CCCUCCCUCUGGCGGCAUGCCUAACACAUGCAAGUCGAACGAGACCUUCGGGUCUAGUGGCGCACGGGUGCGUAACGCGUGGGAACCUGCCCUUAGGUUUGGAAUAACUCCCCGAAAGGGGUGCUAAUACCGGAUAAUGUCUUCGGCCCAAAGAUUUAUUGCAUUUGGGUGGGCCAGAGUUGGAUUAGCUAGUUGGUAGGGUAAAAGCCUACCAAGGCGACGAUCCAUAGCUGGUUUGAGAGGAUGAUCAGCCACACUGGGACUGGGACACGGCCCAGACUCCUACGGGAGGGAGGAGUGGGGAAUAGUGGACAACGGGGUAAGGGCUGAUCCAGCUAGGCCGGGUAAGUGAUGAAAGCCGUAAGGUUGUAAAGCGCUUUUAACCGUGAUGAUAAUGACAGUACCGGGAGAAUAAGCUCCGGCUAACUCCGUG
rnacentral:rRNA from 1 species